UUUCGCAGCUCCACUUCUGCGUGUCGGCUGUCGCGAUGCUGUAUGCGGAAUCGGCUUUGACCACCUCGAUGUUAUCGCCGACCCAUUGUACGAGACAUUGAUGCAUUGUUGACGGAAUACAGCAAUUUGCAUGUAUCCAAUCCCGGCCGAGUAGCAUGUUGUAGGAUCCCUUGCCAUUAAUAAUAAAGAAGGUGGUAGGAAGGGUCUUACUGCCGAUGGUGAGUUCGACGCAGAGAGCGCCGCGAGCGGUUGACACGUUGCCCUCGAAGUCCUUGAGCA
rnacentral:lncRNA from 1 species